rnacentral:rRNA from 1 species
UGGUACAUCGCUGUCGGCUUGGGACAUCCUGGAGGUGCAGGAGCCUCCAAGGGUUGGGUUGUACAUCCAUUAAAGUCCCACAUGAGCUGGGUUCAGUACGUCGCGAGACAGUACGGUAACAUCUUCAAGGAGUGUUGGUUUCUGAGGGUAAGGAUCCUUGAGUACGAGAGGAACAGGGAUUCGAGGCCACUGGUGGACCAGUUGUGUCAACGCAUCGCUGGGCAGCUACGCCUUAUCUCGAUAAGACCUGAAAGCAUCUAAGGUCGAAGCGACUCCCAAAACGAGAAACCUAAAGACCGCCUAUAACAGAUAGGUUUGAUAGG